rnacentral:rRNA from 1 species
GAAAAGAAACCAACAGGGAUUGCCCUAGUAACGGCGAGUGAAGCGGCAACAGCUCAAAUUUGAAAUCUGGCUUCGGCCCGAGUUGUAAUUUGCAGAGGAUGUUUCUGGCGCGGUGCCUUCCGAGUUCCCUGGAACGGGACGCCACAGAGGGUGAGAGCCCCGUAUGGUUGGACACUAAGCCUGUGUGAAACUCCUUCGACGAGUCGAGUAGUUUGGGAAUGCUGCUCAAAAUGGGAGGUAAAUCUCUUCUAAAGCUAAAUACCGGCCAGAGACCGAUAGCGCACAAGUAGAGUGAUCGAAAGAUGAAAAGCACCUUGAAAAGGGGGUUAAACAGUACGUGAAAUUGUUGAAAGGGAAGCGCUUGUGACCAGACUUGCGCCGGGCGGUUCAUCCGGGGUUCUCCCCGGUGCACUCCGCCCGGUUCAGGCCAGCAUCGGUUUUCGUUGGGGGAUAAGAACGUCAGGAACGUGGCCCUCCUUCGGGUGGGUGUUAUAGCCUGGCGUACGAUACCUUGACGGGGACCGAGGUUCGCGCUUCGCAAGGAUGCUGG